rnacentral:rRNA from 1 species
CAGGUUCUCGUUAGAUCACCGGAAGUCAAGCAUCAUUGGGUAGCGGUCAGUACUUGGGUGGGUGACCACCUGGGAACACCGG